rnacentral:lncRNA from 1 species
AGACAGUUUUUUUUUUUUUUUUUUUUUUGUUGUUUUUUUAAUGCUACCCAAAAGAGAGUGAACCUUUAUCAUUUUUAGUGAUCUGGCCUUUCUGGUCAUCUACAAAAAUCACCGGGACAGCAUUAUGAAAGUAUAAUGUAUAAAUGCCUAAGAGAUUUGGUUUAAUGGUGCGGGACCCAAACUUAAGAAUGAAACAAACAAAAACCGGCUUUGUGUGUUUCUGAUGCAGGUGAGGGUUGAGAAAUCAGGGAGAAAUCCUACCCCGCUUGUCCUGGAGCCUGAAGAGAAUGACUUAACCUGAGCCUCCUUCAGCAGUUGGUGGUUGGAAGGCGUGUAUGGAGUGCCUCCUCUCUGCUGGGCUCUGGGCGUGCGGGGAAUUCCGUUGCACAAGGCAGCCCGACGACAUCGCGACCAGUAACCGCCCCCAAACUCCAAACACACCGCAUCCCCCACGCUGGGCCCUCCGUCCCCGCCGCGACAGGUGCGCAUGCGCGCGUGCAAGGAGGGAGAAUUUGCCGUGAGUCCGUGUGCGCAAGCGCGCGUGAAGUGUGCGUGAGAGUUGAGAACGGGGGCGUACGUGACCGUGUGACAGCGGGUGACGGGGUGUGUGUGACGAGGUGAAGAGUGCGAGUGUUAGUAGCAUGCGCGCGCGUGAUGUGUAUACAACUGAGGAGGGUGGGUGUGUGAGAGCUUGAGUGGAGGUUGUAAGCAGGACUGUGUGAUACAGGAGUGUGUGAAUACACGACGGGGCGAAUGAGGCCGGGUGUGUGAGGGCGGGUGGGUGUGAACAGCGUGUGUGUGAACGUGAGCGUGUGCUCCGGUCAGUCUGUGCGUAGGAGGAUGUGUAAGAACGUGCGCGCGCGCCGGGGUGCGUGUAAAGAGUAUGAGCAGGGGUGCGGCAGAGCG